GCGGGUGAACGCAAAGGCAUUGCGAGGGAACGCAAAGGUAUUGCGGGGGAACGCAAAGGUAUUGCGAGGGAACGCAAAGGCAUUGCGAGGGAACGCAAAAGAAAAAAAUCCUCCCAUGUCCCCUCGCGGGCUCAGUAAAUAAUAAAACUAAUCAAAACAGUACAAAACAAAACAAUGUAGUGAGACAGGGCCUUUAYUAUUUGGGGUCAACUCUGUUGGCAAAAUAUCACAUAAAGAGUGUAUUGUAUUGAAGCUUUCAGGAAAUGAUUAUUAGAUUUAGAUCUACAAAGUGAUUUAAGACGGGCGUCACAGCUGAUGGACACUUCGAACAACAGGUCAUAAAAUCAGUGUUCUUGUGGAGGUUUGAUCAAAGAUUCAAAAUUAUUUAUCAACACAAAAUGAUCUUUAUUUAAAACUAUCAUCUUUAAUUUAAUGUUUAAUUUUCUUUUGAGGAAUGAAAAAAACUGUUCUUUAGUUUGAUAAAAGAGAUCGAGAUGWAGUGAAUUCAACAACUAGUUGGUAUUUUAACACGCACGUGUGUUUUUGUACAGCGCCCUGACUUGUGUUGUGAAUCUGGCUUAUAGAAAUAAACUGAACAAAAAGGAAUGCCUUAAUGUUUUUUUUUUCCUGUCUGAGUGCACCAGUGACCAGUUAGACAUUGAAAUCAUUUUUGGAUGAGUUGGGGAGGGAAAGUAGUGCUCRCCACCUCACCAACCAGUUUCCUGGGGGGGAAACCCUGAAAUCUUCAGAAUUUCACGAGAAAGAAGGCRAUUUGCAAAGAAGCCCGAAACCCCGACGUGCUGCUCUAACGUCAGCGCUAAUCAUUACCUCGUCGCAGCUCAGAGUUUGGAAUGAUUAAGAACCAGAAUUGUCCUUUAAAAGCUGCAGCAUGUGAAGUACUCUCUGCUGUAUAUGGUCAUUCCUCUGUGUACAAAUAUUUCAAGUUUUGUACAGACGCGUAUUUUGCAACGUGUACUUUAUUAUUCCACAACUUCAAAUUGAAGUGUCUGUAAAUCUUUACACAAACAUGUAGAAACCAACACACUAAAUAUGAAGCUGUAACACAACCACUCGACCUUUACUCACCAAGUAGUCGUGUGUGUUUUCGAGUCGCAGCCUGAAGAUGAAAAUAUUUGCAGAGCUGCAGGAAAAGUUUUUUUUUUGUUAAUAAUCCAGAACUAUUUUAUGUACAUAGUUGUUUGUCUUUUCUGGUGAUUAAGAAAUGAUGUAACCUUCCUGUUGAAGCAAUUCUUCUAAUCCUUUGAAAUGGGGUUUUGUGGAAAGUUUAUAAACAAUUAAUAUCUUACCUGUAGCAGAUAGCUACUUGAACAACUCCAGUUUGGAGAAACAAAGACGUUUGUGUCCGAAUUUUAAGCUCAUGGAUGAUUUUUGACCAACGAACGAUGGAUUCUUUGGAUUAGUUGGCUUGAAGCAGAGCUACAGAGGCAGAUUUAUGUCACAGUUUAUUUAUGUUUGGACCCAGGAAGCAGGCAGGCACAAAGAGCUCAAAAACAAAACUCAUUCAUUAAUAAGCAAUGGGGGARAAGACAUGAUGCAAACCUGCUUACUGGAGCAAAAACGCGAGAAGCCGGGACGAGUGGCAGGUAGCCAACACAAAAAGACACUAACGAGCAGAAAUAAACACCUGUGAGUGGGAGGAGCUGGGGAGGAACAGAGGAGCAGGAAAACACAGACACAGAAUGGAAAUCCCGAAUCCUCACACUUCCCCUGCUUCAUUUAUAAACAGAUUUAUGUGAACUGAUUUGCAAAUUACAAAAAGUGUUUUUAACAAAUAAAGUUUGAAUGAAGGCUCCGGGAUUGAGCUGAUGCUCUUUGGGUGGAAAAAGCUCAAAUUAAAAAAGUAAAACAGCUCCUGAUUUGGAGUAAUUUUAAAAAUUUUAAGGCAUUCUUAGAAAUAAAAAAAAACUUUACUUUUCUUUAAAAGCAACUCUUGUAUGUCUGAUCCUUAUUGAUUCAAUAAGGAUUUUUUUUUUGUUUUCUCAAACCUGAGCAGGGCCGGCCCGUGGCAUAGGCAGUAUAGGUAAAGGCUAAGGGCACCGUCUAGAUAGGGGGAUGUAAAGAAAUAUAACAUUUUAUCUGGCUGUAGUUGAUUUAGUCUGUAGAAUAAUCACUGGUUUCUCAGGUUUAUGAAGGUAACUUGUUCUGUGGGUUUCUCAGCUGCUUCGUUACUACAUGAGGCGUUAUUUGGCAGCGCGAUGGAUCAGUGGUUAGCACCAGCGCCUCACAACAAGAAGGUCCUGGRUUCGAUCCCCAGUUCGGACCUGGGGUCUGUUUGUGUGGAGUUCGCAUGUUGAUCUGUGAUCUCAUUGGGCAAAAUAAAAUAAAAACAUGGUGCAGAGGAUCCAUCCAUUAUCUUUACCUGCUUCUUCCUUUCAGGCCCAUAUCCAGCAGUCACUGUGGGAGGGGCGGGGCACCCCCAGGACAGGUCUCCAGUCCAUCACAGGGUCGCAUAGAGACAAACAUUCACUCUCUCAGGUACCAAUUAACCUAACAGUCCAGUUCAUGGUUUGUGGAAACCAGAGAGAAAACCCACACAUGCACAGAGAGAAGAUGCAAACUCUACCCAGAAAGGAUCCCCACCUGGGGGGUUAGAUCCACCUAGAACUGCUUCACUCCACAGCUGCUCGUUAACAUGAACAAGUGAACUACCUGGUUUCUAAAGAUGAAUCAUUUCAGUGAGAUUUAGAACGUUACUCGGGGGGGAGGGGGGGGGACGCACUUGAAAUCUCACCCUGGGCGCCAAAUUGGUUAGAACCGGCCCUGAAGCUGAGCUGAACUGAAAACAUCUCCAGUGAUUCUUACAAACAUUACUUUUCAACUUUUACCUUAUUGUAACUUCUGCAUUACAUGGUUGUUGACAAGUAUUUCUUCUGGGAYUAAUGUGUGAAACAACAAAGGCAAAAAUAUAAAAGUUUAAAAAGUUUUUGUGUGAAUUGGAGUUGUUUGAAAAAGGCAGAGAUCUAGUUUGGUUUCUCUCAGACUAGCUGUUAGCUCGUCAGUUUGGUCAGAAUGAAACUUUAUUUCUCCAGUUUGAGAUCGUUUGAAGAGCUUUCUUCAUCAUGUAAGAUAAGAAAUGGUCACAACUUUUCCACAGAACCUCAUUUCUAAAUAACUGUUUAGUGUGAGAAAAGCUCAACCACAAUCAUCGGGUUUGAAGCUUCUUGAAAAAUUUGUUUUCAUUUUUCUCGGGAAGCAAUUGGUGGUUUCACAAACUGCACUUUUAUUUUGUCCCCCUCCAACCUGAGGCCCUGCGUUUGCUCUGCACCAAAGACGAGCGAUUAUUUCCUGUAUUUUCGAACAAACACGACUUAUAAUGCGCGUGUGUGUGGAGAUGCAGCGCUGUGGUUAGUAGUACCUGGAGCUCUCCAACCACUGCUUUCCGGCCAGCAGCUGCAGCGCAGAGAGAUCACACCCUGGAUGUGCUAAUGAUGUGAUGCACACGGAUGUUUACGCAGCGACGCAUCCACACACACUGAAACAGCACCGGGUCACUCAGACAGCACCGGGUCACUCAGACAGCACCGGGUCACUCAGACAGCACCGGGUCACUCUGCAUGAUUCAGAACUUUUGACUUACUGUCAGGAUUUUAUUAUUUCUGUGCCCCCGUCCACAUUUCUUCUGCUUUUUUUAUUUAUUUGUUCACAGGAAACUGACUCUAGGGUUUACUCAGGAUAAGAAAUAAAUCUGAUCAGUGUCCUGUUUCAUGUUUCUUUUUUCACUCAAAAUUMAUCUCAAGAGGUUUUCUCCAUUAAAAAAAAAUAAUCUGAUUUUUCAUUCUUUGUUAAGCUCCACUCACCUAUGAGUAACUGUGUGAGUCAGGUUGUUUUUGUUUUGUUUUCGGGGUAACCUCGAGCACACAAAGACCUCAGCACUAAUGAACUGUCCACCAACACUAAUGAGAAGUAAUGUGUGUGUGUAACUAACGUGUGGUGAAACAACCCUGCUGGCAGUCAUGGACUUUGUGAGUGUGAUGAACCAAAACAAAAAAAUAACCAAACGAAUCCACCACAGAGCUCCACAGAACAUCUUUCUUUCUCUGUACAUAUUCUAAUGAAUAAAGUUGCACUGAACUGACGCCUGA